ACCCAGGUCUUUUGUCGGAUGCCGAUAUGUCCAUGCAGAAUAUAAGUAAUGAAAACAUUCUUUAUUUCUAAAGAUAUGGGAACCAAAUGGCAUUCUGCUGUCUUAUCUGAUGGUGUUGCUUCACUCACAUUUUUAAUAAAGGAUGAAAUUGUAGGAAAUAUAGCUAGCGACUAUUAACUAUGAAAGAAUUAUGUUUUGUUGCAAACACAAGGUAAUAAACGAGCUUUGGCAGACACGAUGUACGAAACUUGAA